UACGUAGGGUGCAAGCGUUGUCCGGAAUUAUUGGGCGUAAAGAGCUCGUAGGCGGUCUGUCGCGUCUGCUGUGAAAACUCAGGGCUUAACCCUGAGCUUGCAGUGGGUACGGGCAGACUAGAGUGCGGUAGGGGAGACUGGAAUUCCUGGUGUAGCGGUGAAAUGCGCAGAUAUCAGGAGGGAACACCCGGGUGGCGAAGGCGGGUCUCUGGGCCGUAACUGACGC
rnacentral:rRNA from 1 species